UACGUAGGGAGCAAGCGUUGUUCGGAUUUACUGGGCGUAAAGGGCGCGUAGGCGGCAACUCAAGUCAGCUGUGAAAUCUCCGAGCUUAACUCGGAACGGUCAGCUGAUACUGUUUUGCUAGAGUGCAGAAGGGGCAAUCGGAAUUCUUGGUGUAGCGGUGAAAUGCGUAGAUAUCUGGAGGAACACCGGUGGCGAAGGCGGCAUCCUGGACCGGUAUUGACGCUGAUGCGCGAAAGCCAGGGGAGCAAACGGG
rnacentral:rRNA from 1 species